CACGGGUCCAAACUUUGUGUGUCCCAACCUCCCACAUGAUGAAAUGAUCCUUUUAAAGCGGGCUCAAUAUGUCUCAAUCUGCACUCCUCUUCCCUCGCUAAAGCUUCUGGGUUCGGGACACAGCCCAGAAAUAUAUUAAUUAAAGCGCACUCCUAUACAGACUUUCAGCACUGGGGAAGAAGUGGCUAGAUCAAGUCAAGCUCUGUCAACGACGGAUGGAUGAAGAUUCACGGCAGGAAAAAAAAAAAGCGAUCAAUGCCGCAGCGCUCUCUCAUUCACCCUGAACUGGUGGUGAACUCCUCCGGAACGCCGCCAGCCUCUCCACCCUAUCCCAUCGCAGUCCGGGGUCACCAGGGGGGCGUCUCUGUGCCAAUAUGCAGAUGAGCCUGUGCCCCUCCAAUGACUCUGGUGUUAAGCUCCACCCCUCUAUAUGUUGGAGCGCCCCCACCCACCCAACAACACUCACACACAGA